rnacentral:lncRNA from 1 species
GGUGUCUCGCUUUGCCGGCGGCUGACGACCGCCGCAACUGCCUACCGAACAGGCCGUACCAGCGCUCCGCAGGACAAUGCAAGUCGUUUUUGUCACACCCUGUCGAUUGCAAGUCUUUCAGGUGUAAGCCUUUUGUUCCUACCUUGCCUCCUCCUCCUCCUCCAUCACCACCAUUGCCGUCACCGCCACCGUCGCCUGUUUAUGUUCCCCGUUCUCCUCCGCCCCCACCGCCGGUGUACUCGCCUCCACCACCAGUGUACUCGCCACCACCUCCACCAGUGUAUUCGCCUCCCCCACCACCUCCAUUGUAUUCGCCUCCUCCACCACCUCCAGUGUAUUCGCCUCCACCGCCGCCUCCACCUCCGCCACCUUCACCACCUCCGCCUUCACCGCCCCCUCCAGUCUAUUCUCCACCUCCACCCCCACCUUCACCGCCACCACCAUCACCACCUCCGCCAUCCCCUCCACCACCAGUCUAUUCGCCACCUCCUCCUCCCCCAUCCCCGCCACCACCAGUCUAUUCGCCACCUCCUCCGCCACCUUCGCCGCCGCCGCCUUCCCCGCCACCGCCCUCACCAGUUUAUUGUGUAAGGUCUCCGCCACCACCUUCACCACCUCCGCCAUCACCUCCACCUCCACCAAGUCCUGUAUUCUCCCCACCACCACCCGUGCAAUACUACUACAGUCCACCACCGCCACCACAACACUCGCCUCCCCCGCCCCCACCACACUCGCCACCGCCACCACAUUCACCACCGCCACCACAUUCCCCGCCGCCUCCGGUUUAUCCCUAUCUGUCACCGCCCCCACCUCCUCCUGUUCACUCUCCACCUCCACCGGUCCAUUCACCACCACCACCGUCUCCUCCACCUUGUAUAGAACCGCCACCACCACCUCCCCCCUGUAUAGAACCGCCUCCGCCUCCACCAUCACCACCACCUUGUGAAGAGCAUUCGCCACCACCACCAUCACCACAUCCUGCACCUUACCUGCCACCGCCAUCGCCAUCACCACCACCUCCUCCAGUUCAAUACAGUUCUCCUCCACCACCAUCGUCGCCACCUGUUUAUUAUUACAACUCACCGCCGCCGCCACCUCCUUCGUCUCCACCACCAGCCCCUGUAUAUGAAGGGCCUUUGCCACCCGUCAUAGGAGUCUCAUAUGCAUCUCCUCCUCCACCUCCCUUUUAUUGAUUCUUUUGAGAACUUUUCUCCUCUAACCCUUUGCCCUCUACCCUAGCAAUGAAAAAAAAACAUUCAAGUUCAGUUCAUACUUUUGUUAUUAUUGGUGGCUAUUUCUGCUGUGCCCUCCUCUUCCUUUGCCAGCCAUGUCAAGUAAGUACGCGACUCUCGUCGCGAAAAAUAAAACCUGAGAGAACCAGAAGGGUUUGUGUAAGGCUGCAUGUGAUGUUUGUUCUAGUAUAGGAAAACAGAGAGGAGAUCACAGUGGAUUGCGGUAGGAGGAGAAAGUCUCUCCAUAUUGAUUUGAAUUGUUAUGGAUAUUCGAGUUGUGAAAUAAAAAUGGCAGAGAAAGAGUAGGUUGCAGAGAAAAUGUGUAUGUAUAGGGAUGAAUUUGGAGACCAUAAUUCAGGGUUGCAUUGCAUAGAGAGUAGCAGCACUUUCUGCUACUGCUGCUGCUUCUGCAGGUUUGUGGAGUUUAUUGUUAUUGUCUCUCUUAUAUCAUACUUUUUUUUUUAUUUAAUUUUUUGUUUCUUUUGUUUUGCAAUUGAUAGUAUAAUUUAAGAACAUUUACAUGUAUUGAUUUUCUGAAUUGAGGUAAUUCCUUUCUCGUACCGGUGUCUCG